rnacentral:rRNA from 1 species
UACGUAGGGUGCGAGCGUUGUCCGGAAUUAUUGGGCGUAAAGGGCUCGUAGGCGGUUUGUCGCGUCGGGCGUGAAAACACUGGGCUUAACUCAGUGCUUGCUUCCGAUACGGGCAGACUAGAGGUAUUCAGGGGAGAACGGAAUUCCUGGUGUAGCGGUGAAAUGCGCAGAUAUCAGGAGGAACACCGGUGGCGAAGGCGGUUCUCUGGGCAUUACCUGACGCUGAGGAGCGAAAGUGUGGGGAGCGAACAGG